AAGAAAAGAGGUAGAAACUACCUUACGUGGACAGAUGAAAUGGAAGAGGCAAUGCUGAAUGUAUUUGUGGAGCAUUACAAUAGAGGGGACCAUGCUCAAAAUGGGUGGAAACCACAUGUUUACACUGCAGUUGUCAAUAAUGUUCGAGCCAAUUGCAAUGUGGAUAUCACAAAGGAGAAUGUCAUAUCAAGGUGCAAGACUAUUGAUAGACAUUAUGUCAAUGUUAGCAAGAUGUUGUCAACGAGUGGUUUUGGGUGGGACUGGAUCCAUAACAAGCUUAUGGUUGAUACUGAGGAAGUGUGGAGCAACUAUGUCAUGGUAAGCACUACAUCUUGA
rnacentral:rRNA from 1 species